ACAUGUAUGUUCCCUAGAGGUCGGAGAGAAGCACUUGUAAGCAGUCAUAUAAUUACCCUUUUUCAUAUAUUGCCUCUUCUUGUGUUUACGAUAACUAUGGUGAAAAUUGAAUGUCCGUAAAAGAACUCUGAAAUCAGAGACAGCUCCCAGUGGCGAAUCCAGCCAUUUGAAAAGGGGGUUCCUAACCCAGGACAAGGGGGGAAGGGGGGGGGUCCAACUAUAUGUCCCCAUUCAAAUGCAUUGAUCGUCCCAAAAAAUGGGGGAAUCCAACCCUCGGAACCCUCUCCCUGGAUCCGACACAUGCUCAUGUUUUGUCUGUUGUUAUUUACAUUUUAUAUGACAUUUUAUACAAAUCCUUGCUCUAACUCGAAAUAAAAUUAUUCAAGAACAUACAUGUAUAUAUAAUCAGAAAGAGACUACAACAAGGUAUAAUCCAGUGUUGAAAUGAUAAAUGAAAGGUGCACAUGUUUGUGCUGAAGCGCAGCUGGCAUUUGAACACCUCCCUUUAUUCCUUCAUUGAAUAAUAAUUGAUAAUUGGAAAAUGCCUCUAUACCUAUAUUGAAUAAUUGGUAAAUGCACGAUCAUCCGAACAUCACAAUCUACUAUUUUCUACCAGUACAAGCUAGUGCUACGACUUAAACCUAGUCUAAAAUAUUCAUCUUAAAAAAAUCCAACGAGCCAAGGAUUUGUCUCGCUAUACAAAUCCUUGGACGCGCCAAAUAAAUUAAGAGACAUAGAAAAACUGCUUUUAUGGCUUGUUAGUCUGGAAAACAUUUGUUAAGUCUGAAAUUCAUUAUGGUGAAAAACUAUACAAAAUCACAAGCUGAUGUAACAGAAAGGAC
rnacentral:lncRNA from 1 species